AGUGAACGCUGGCGGUAGGCCUAACACAUGCAAGUCGAACGGCAGCACAGUAAGAGCUUGCUCUUACGGGUGGCGAGUGGCGGACGGGUGAGGAAUACAUCGGAAUCUACUUUUUCGUGGGGGAUAACGUAGGGAAACUUACGCUAAUACCGCAUACGACCUACGGGUGAAAGCAGGGGAUCUUCGGCCAUUGCGCGAUUGAAUGAGCCGAUGCCGGAUUAGCUAGUUGGCGGGGUAAAGGCCCACCAAGGCGACGAUCCGUAGCUGGUCUGAGAGGAUGAUCAGCCACACUGGAACUGAGACACGGUCCAGACUCCUACGGGAGGCAGCAGUGGGGAAUAUUGGACAAUGGGCGCAAGCCUGAUCCAGCCAUACCGCGUGGGUGAAGAAGGCCUUCGGAUUGUAAAGCCCUUUUGUUUGGAAAGAAAAGCAGCAGGUUAAUACCCCGCUGUUCUGACGGUACCCAAAGAAUAAGCACCGGCUAACUUCGUG
rnacentral:rRNA from 1 species